rfam:Stachybotrys chartarum IBT 40288 unplaced genomic scaffold C40866, whole genome shotgun sequence.
GCAGGUAUAAGUUAAUGGUAUACUAGCUGACUUCCCAUCCGGUAAGCGUCAGUUCGAAUCUGGUUACCUGCA